GGGUUGCGGACAGUGUCUGGUGGGUAGUUUGACUGGGGCGGUCUCCUCCUAAAGAGUAACGGAGGAGCACGAAGGUUGGCUAAUCCUGGUCGGACAUCAGGAGGUUAGUGCAAUGGCAUAAGCCAGCUUGACUGCGAGCGUGACGGCGCGAGCAGGUGCGAAAGCAGGUCAUAGUGAUCCGGUGGUUCUGAAUGGAAGGGCCAUCGCUCAACGGAUAAAAGGUACUCCGGGGAUAACAGGCUGAUACCGCCCAAGAGUUCAUAUCGACGGCGGUGUUUGGCACCUCGAUGUCGGCUCAUCACAUCCUGGGGCUGAAGUAGGUCCCAAGGGUAUGGCUGUUCGCCAUUUAAAGUGGUACGCGAGCUGGGUUUAGAACGUCGUGAGACAGUUCGGUCCCUAUCUGCCGUGGGCGCUGGAGAACUGAGGGGGGCUGCUCCUAGUACGAGAGGACCGGAGUGGACGCAUCACUGGUGUUCGGGUUGUCAUGCCAAUGGCACUGCCCGGUAGCUAAAUGCGGAAGAGAUAAGUGCUGAAAGCAUCUAAGCACGAAACUUGCCCCGAGAUGAGUUCUCCCUGAGACUUAGAGUCUCCUGAAGGAACGUUGAAGACGACGACGUUGAUAGGCCGGGUGUGUAAGCGCAGCGAUGCGUUGAGCUAACCGGUACUAAUGAACCGUGAGGCUUAACCUU
rnacentral:rRNA from 2 species